rnacentral:rRNA from 1 species
GCUGGCGGCAUGCUUAACACAUGCAAGUCGAACGAAGUCUUCGGACUUAGUGGCGCACGGGUGAGUAACAUGUGGGAAUUUACCUAAAGGUUCGGAAUAACUACGGGAAACUGUAGCUAAUACCGGAUGUGUCUGCAAAGAGAAAGAUUUAUCGCCUUUAGAUGAGCCCGCACUAGAUUAGUUUGUUGGUGAGGUAAGAGCUCCACCAAGACUACGAUCUAUAGCUGAUUUGAGAGGAUGAUCAGCCACACUGGGACUGAGACACGGCCCAGACUCCUACGGGAGGCAGCAGUGGGGAAUAUUGGACAAUGGGGGCAACCCUGAUCCAGCAAUGCCGCGUGAGUGAAGAAGGCCCUCGGGUUGUAAAACUCUUUCAUCAGUGAAGAUAAUGACGUUAACUGAAGAAGAAGCUCCGGCUAACUCCGUGCCAGCAGCCGCGGUAAUACGGAGGGGGCUAGCGUUGUUCGGAAUUACUGGGCGUAAAGCGUAUGUAGGCGGAUCAAAAAGUUAGAUGUGAAAUCCCUGGGCUCAACCCAGGAACUGCAUUUAAAACUAAUGAUCUAGAAUUUGGUAGAGGAUAGUAGAAUUUCCAGUGUAGAGGUGAAAUUCGUAGAUAUUGGAAAGAAUACCAGUGGCGAAGGCGACUAUCUGGGCCAUUUUUGACGCUGAGAUACGAAAGCGUGGGUAGCGAACAGGAUUAGAUACCCUGGUAGUCCACGCAGUAAACGAUGAGUGCUAGUCGCUGGGUCAUUAGACUCGGUGUCGCAGCUAACGCAUUAAGCACUCCGCCUGGGAAGUAC